UACGUAGGGGCGAGCGUUGUCCGGAAUUAUUGGGCGUAAGCGCGCGCAGGCGGUUUUUAAGUCGUGGUGAAAGACCGGGGCUCAACCCCGGAGCGUCCGCGAAGACUGGAAGACUGGAGUGUCGGAGAGGAGUGCGGUAAGUACCUGGUGGUAGCGGUGGAAUGCGUAGAGAUCAGUGGAACACCGAUGGCGAAGGCAGCACUCUGGCCGAAUACUGACGCUGAGGCGCGAAAGCGUGGGAGCGAACGGG
rnacentral:rRNA from 1 species